GAUGAACGCUAGCGGCAGGCCUAAUACACGCAAGUCGAGGGGUAGAGUUGGAGCAAUCUGACUUGAGACCGGCGCACGGGUGCGUAACACGUAUGCAAUCUGCCCUCUACAGGGGUAUAGCUCAGAGAAAUCUGAAUUAAUCCCCCAUAAGACCCCACUGUGGCAUCACAGAGAGGUUAAAGCUGAGGCGGUAGAGGAUGAGCAUGCGGUGUAUUAGCUAGUUGGUGAGGUAAUGGCUCACCAAGGCUACGAUACAUAGGGGUUCUGAGAGGAUGAUCCCCCACACUGGUACUGAGACACGGACCAGACUCCUACGGGAGGCAGCAGUAGGGAAUAUUGGUCAAUGGACGCAAGUCUGAACCAGCCAUGCCGCGUGCAGGAAGACGGCCCUCUGGGUUGUAAACUGCUUUUAUAUAGGAAGAAACCCCUGGACGCGUUCGGGGCUGACGGUACUAUAUGAAUAAGGAUCGGCUAACUUCGUG
rnacentral:rRNA from 1 species